UAAGUCUCAUCCUCACACGUA
rnacentral:siRNA from 1 species